rnacentral:rRNA from 1 species
UACAGAGGUCUCAAGCGUUGUUCGGAUUCAUUGGGCGUAAAGGGUGCGUAGGCGGCGCGGUAAGUCGGGUGUGAAAUCUCGGAGCUUAACUCCGAAACUGCAUUCGAUACUGCCGUGCUUGAGGACUGGAGAGGAGACUGGAAUUUACGGUGUAGCGGUGAAAUGCGUAGAUAUCAGGAGGAACACCGGUGGCGAAGGCGGGUCUCUGGGCCGAAAUUGACGCUGAGGAGCGAAAGCGUGGGGAGCAAACAGG